UACGUAGGGGGCAAGCGUUGUCCGGAAUCAUUGGGCGUAAAGCGCGCGUAGGCGGCCCGAUAAGUCUGCUGUAAAAGUCAACGGCUCAACCGUUGAAAGCCGGUGGAUACUGUCGGGCUAGAGUUCGGAAGAGGCAAGUGGAAUUCCUGGUGUAGCGGUGGAAUGCGCAGAUAUCAGGAGGAACACCUAUAGCGAAGGCAGCUUGCUGGGACGAAACUGACGCUAAGGCGCGAAAGCGUGGGGAGCGAACAGG
rnacentral:rRNA from 1 species